rnacentral:tRNA from 1 species
GUAGGACAAUGGAUAACGCGUUGGACUUCAAAUCCAGAGGUCGUGAAUUCGAAUCCCACACA